GAUGAAGAACGUAGCGAAAUGCGAUAAGUAAUGUGAAUUGCAGAAUUCAGUGAAUCAUCGAAUCUUUGAACGCACAUUGCGCCCUUUGGUAUUCCGAAGGGCAUGCCUGUUCGAGCGUCAUUAUAACCACUCAAGCUCUCGCUUGGUAUUGGGGUUCGCGGUCUCGCGGCCCCUAAAAUCAGUGGCGGUGCCUGUCGGCUCUACGCGUAGUAAUACUCCUCGCGAUUGAGUCCGGUAGGUGACUUGCCAGCAACCCCCAAAUUUUUCAGGUUGACCUCGGAUCAGGUAGGGAUACCCGCUGAACUUAAGCAUAUCAAUAAGCGGAGG
rnacentral:misc_RNA from 1 species